GACGAACGCUGGCGGCGUGCUUAACACAUGCAAGUCGAACGGAAAGGCACUGCUUUUGUGGGGUGCUCGAGUGGCGAACGGGUGAGUAACACGUGAGUAACCUGCCCUUGACUUUGGGAUAACUUCAGGAAACUGGGGCUAAUACCGGAUAGGAGCUCCUGCUGCAUGGUGGGGGUUGGAAAGUUUCGGCGGUUGGGGAUGGACUCGCGGCUUAUCAGCUUGUUGGUGGGGUAGUGGCUUACCAAGGCUUUGACGGGUAGCCGGCCUGAGAGGGUGACCGGCCACAUUGGGACUGAGAUACGGCCCAGACUCCUACGGGAGGCAGCAGUGGGGAAUAUUGCACAAUGGGCGGAAGCCUGAUGCAGAAACGCCGCGUGCGGGAUGACGGCCUUCGGGUUGUAAACCGCUUUCGCCUGUGACGAAGCGUGAGUGACGGUAAUGGGUAAAGAAGCACCGGCUAACUACGUG
rnacentral:rRNA from 1 species